rnacentral:rRNA from 1 species
AUGGGAGCUUGCUCCCUGAUGUUAGCGGCGGACGGGUGAGUAACACGUGGGUAACCUGCCUGUAAGACUGGGAUAACUCCGGGAAACCGGGGCUAAUACCGGAUGGUUGUCUGAACCGCAUGGUUCAGACAUAAAAGGUGGCUUCGGCUACCACUUACAGAUGGACCCGCGGCGCAUUAGCUAGUUGGUGAGGUAACGGCUCACCAAGGCGACGAUGCGUAGCCGACCUGAGAGGGUGAUCGGCCACACUGGGACUGAGACACGGCCCAGACUCCUACGGGAGGCAGCAGUAGGGAAUCUUCCGCAAUGGACGAAAGUCUGACGGAGCAACGCCGCGUGAGUGAUGAAGGUUUUCGGAUCGUAAAGCUCUGUUGUUAGGGAAGAAUAAGUGCCGUU